UGCCGAGUUCAAAGGCCUGACCCGCGCCACGUCCCCACGGAAACCUUUACUGUCAUGAAUAUUCCAUGCAUAUUCAUCUACUUCAUCAGCCCUCGCUUUCUUCUCCUUUGAUGGCAAUCAAAGUCAGCGGGCCGGCCUGCUGUUCCGACCAAUAUUAAGGAACCGCACCAUAUGCCACAAAAGGUCAUGCCUCGGCUGGACUGUCUUAAAGUUGCGCAAAUGGGGAUGUUAUGAGUUCUCUUCUGAUAUAAAAUGGCAGAGGAUGGUGUAUUUCUUGGAAUGUAAAUUUGGAACAUCAAAGUGAAAGAGCUGCCCGGAUAUGUGGUUUGGAGUUUCUUCUUUGUUUGAUCACUACAGAACUGUAUGGGGUACAGGGUUCCGUUACUUUGGAUGACCUUCGAACAACUUGUCCCGUUCAUAGAACGAUCAGAAGAGGCACAAAUGACAAGAUAUUGCGUUUUGUUUUGGGGGCACAUGGUGUCAGAAGUGGGAUAUUCCGGUCCCAGUGGUCUGGAAAAGAACAAUGCUUUAAAGAACCAUGAAAGAGGCAGAGCCUGGUAAAAGACUGUGAUGGCAGGGACAACACUGCGAAACUCCAUGGGGAAGAUGGCAUGGCAAGGCACAACAUCACCGCAAGCCUGGGUCAGCAGGUAAACAGAUUCCUGCUGGGAGCUUCAGCAACAGCCGCAGGCUGUGGGUUGAGUGCUGUGCGGAUGGGACACAGCUCAUCACACUCGCCAUCAUGGGUUUGCUGAUAUCCCUACUGCGACCAGACGUGCUCACGCACACCAAGAGGGACACAUCAAAUGGCAGGAAAUUGACCAUCAUCCAGCUAAAGUCAGUCACCAGCAAAACCACCAGUAAAUGUCAUUGUAUGUUAGUGUAAAGAUGUGUUGUGUGUUAUUUGUGUUAUUCUUUGGUGGUGGGUGUUUUGUGUUGGGGACUGGUCACCAUGGGACGGUGACAUGGGGCGAGAAUAGCUAUAUUUUGUUAGAGCACGCUUUGGUCCUCAUGAUGCUUUGCUCAUGCUUUGAUGGGCUGUAUUUAAUUCUUAAAACAGUAUUUAACGGCUUUUUGUGGCAUUUUCAAGUAUGUGAUUUGAAUGCUUACAGAUUAUGUAAGCAGUUCAGGUAGGUGCUGUGCUUGGGAGUGUACCAGGACCCAGGUUUGGGUC